rnacentral:rRNA from 1 species
UGCAAGUCGAGGGGUAACAGGGGUAGCAAUACCUGCUGACGACCGGCGUACGGGUGAGUAACGCGUAUGCAACCUGCCCUAUACAGGAGGAUAGCCCGGAGAAAUUCGGAUUAAUACUCCAUGUAGCAUUUUUUUCGCAUGAAUUAGAUGUUAAAGAUUUAUCGGUAUAGGAUGGGCAUGCGUCCCAUUAGCUAGUUGGUGAGGUAACGGCUCACCAAGGCAUCGAUGGGUAUGGGGUCUUAAAGGAUGGUCCCACACACUGGCACUGAGACACGGGCCAGACUCCUACGGGAGGCAGCAGUGAGGAAUAUUGGUCAAUGGGUGAGAGCCUGAACCAGCCAUCCCGCGUGCAGGAUGACGGUCCUAGUGAUUGUAAACUGCUUUUCUAUGAGAUGAAUAAGAAUUACGUGUAGUUCGAUGACCGUAUUAUAGGAAUAAGCAUCGGCUAACUCCGUGCCAGCAGCCGCGGUAAUACGGAGGAUGCAAGCGUUAUCCGGAUUUAUUAGGUUUAAAGGGUGCGUAGGUGGGCGUUUAAGUCAGUGGUUAAAGCCAUUAGCUUAACUAAUGUAUGCCAUUGAUACUGGAUGUCUUGAAUGUGGUAGAGGUAGGCGGAAUGUGUUGUGUAGCGGUGAAAUGCUUAGAUAUAACACAGAACACCGAUUGCGAAGGCAGCUUACUAUUCCAUUAUUGACGCUGAUGCACGAAAGCGUGGGGAUCAAACAGGAUUAGAUACCCUGGUAGUCCACGCCGUAAACGAUGGAUACUAGGUGUAGGGGGUAUCGACCCCCCCUGUGCCGGAGUUAACGCAAUAAGUAUCCCGCCUGGGGAGUACGGUCGCAAGACUGAAACUCAAAGGAAUUGACGGGGGCCCGCACAAGCAGCGGAGCAUGUGGUUUAAUUCGAAGCAACGCGAAGAACCUUACCAGGGCUUGACAUCCCGAUGACCGGUACAGAGAUGUACCUUCCCUUCGGGGCAUUGGAGACAGGUGGUGCAUGGUUGUCGUCAGCUCGUGUCGUGAGAUGUUGGGUUAAGUCCCGCAACGAGCGCAACCCCUAUCCUUAGUUGCCAUCAGUUAAAGCUGGGCACUCUAAAGAGACUGCCGGGGAUAACUCGGAGGAAGGUGGGGAUGACGUCAAAUCAUCAUGCCCCUUAUGUCCUGGGCUACACACGUGCUACAAUGGCCUGUAACAGAGGGAAGCGAAGCCGUAAGGCGGAGCAAAACUCAGAAACCAGGUCCCAGUUCGGAUUGUGGGCUGCAACUCGCCCACAUGAAGUCGGAGUUGCUAGUAAUCGCGAAUCAGCAUGUCGCGGUGAAUACGUUCCCGGGCCUUGUACACACCGCCCGUCACACCAUGGAAGUUGGGGGGACCCGAAGCCGGUGACC